GAUGAACGCUGGCGGCGUGCCUAAUACAUGCAAGUCGAGCGAACAGACGAGGCGCUUGCUCCUCUGACGUUAGCGGCGGACGGGUGAGUAACACGUGGAUAACCUACCUAUAAGACUGGGAUAACUUCGGGAAACCGGAGCUAAUACCGGAUAAUAUAUUGAACCGCAUGGUUCAAUAGUGAAAGACGGUUUUGCUGUCACUUAUAGAUGGAUCCGCGCCGCAUUAGCUAGUUGGUAAGGUAACGGCUUACCAAGGCAACGAUGCGUAGCCGACCUGAGAGGGUGAUCGGCCACACUGGAACUGAGACACGGUCCAGACUCCUACGGGAGGCAGCAGUAGGGAAUCGUCCGCAAUGGGCGAAAGCCUGACGGAGCAACGCCGCGUGAGUGAUGAAGGUCUUCGGAUCGUAAAACUCUGUUAUUAGGGAAGAACAAAUGUGUAAGUAACUAUGCACGUCUUGACGGUACCUAAUCAGAAAGCCACGGCUAACUACGUG
rnacentral:rRNA from 1 species